GCGAGGAUCAGAGCCUUUCGGAGGAAUUGGAAGUGGCCGGGGCUGCAGGUUUGCUAAUUCUCCUAUUUGUCCUGUUAGAGGGUUGUACUUGGAGAGAAGAAGACUGUGCAGUCUUUUUAACUGAUGAAGAACAAGGCUUUGUCUUCCUGUAAUUCUGAAGUGAAAGUUGAGUCACCAUACAAGAAAAAUAAAUCCACUUAAAAUAUAGGCAUUAGUAAUAGAAUGCUGAAACAAACUUCUGGAUUAGCUUCAUUGGCUUUCCUGCUUCUUUUGCAUCCCAAAGCAUAAGUUUAAAUCAUCUCAGAAGGACAAGAUCCGCCAGUUUAUGACAUUUACCCAGGCUGGUGAAAAGACUGCUAUAUACUGUUUAAUGCAGAAUGAGUGGAAACUAGAAGUGGCAACUGACAACUACUUCCAGAACCCAGACUUGUACUACAAAGAAUCCAUGAAAAAUUCAGUAGACAAAAAGAAGUUAGAACAAUUGUAUAACAGGUAUAAAGACCCACAAGAUGAGAAUAAAAUUGGCAUUGAUGGAAUUCAGCAGUUUUGUGAUGAUUUAGGCCUAGAUCCUGCCCAUAUCAGUGUUCUUGUCAUAGCAUGGAAAUUCAGGGCAGCCACUCAAUGUGAAUUCAGUAAAAAGGAAUUUAUGGAUGGCAUGACCGAGCUGGGGUGUGAUACGACAGAAAAAUUAAAAGCUCUUUUACCAAGAAUAGAACAAGAGCUAAAGGAUGCAAUAAAAUUCAAAGAUUUUUAUCAAUUUACCUUUAACUUUGCUAAGAACCCUGGACAAAAAGGUUUAGAUCUCGUGCCUGACACCCCAGCAGCACAGCCAGGCCUCAGCAAGAGGGUCCUUUAAAGGAAACCGCUUGAGUCGAUCACUUAAAACAUGAAAAGCUGGAAGUAUCGUUGGCUCCUGUGGGAGAACAAUUGGGAAAGUAUGGAUGUCUUUUUCCCUAACCAGGGAAAGCGGAUUUAGAAAUGGCUGUUGCUUACUGGAAUUUAGUCUUAUCUGGAAGGUUUAAAUUUUUAGAUCUUUGGAAUAAGUUUUUAUUGGAACAUCACAAAAGAUCAAUCCCAAAGGACACUUGGAACCUUCUACUAGAUUUUGGAAAUAUGAUUGCAGAUGAUAUGUCUAACUAUGAUGAAGAAGGAGCAUGGCCUGUUCUUAUAGAUGAUUUUGUAGAAUAUGCACGACCAGUUGUCACAAAAGGAAAGCGCAGUACUUUCUAACCCUAAGUAUAAAACUGGACUGAAAUUACAAUCUGAAUUACAUCAGGUAAUGAAGACAUUUUGGCCAAUAACUGUCCACGGUUACUGAUUUCAGUAGUCAUGGUAUGCCACUGACCCAACUGUAAUCACCACUUCUACUCUCCUUCAAGAAAAUGAUGCUCAGAAGAUAGCUCAGGAUGCAUUGAGAUACAUUGGGGAUUGAUUAUUGUAUUGGUUCUGUCAUUUGGUGAGAGAUAAUUGCAUGAUUUAUACUUAGGAGAAUUAACUAGAGCCCAUUUUAAUUAACACUGCACAGCCUGUCAUUCAGCUCAUGAUCUAAGGUGAACAAACACCAGCAGUUACUACUGUAAUUAGAGAUUAUAGAGUACUUACAUAUUGAAAAGCAGUAUUUGUGGUAUGAAUUAAGUCCCCAUAUAAAAUUUAAGUAGUAGGUUAUAUUUUUAUACAAGUCAAUAUUAUUAAAAGUAUUUACCCUAAUGAUCAUGAUCUUGUAAUAAACUCUUACUGACACUUUUAUACUUGGUGCCAGUACACUAGAUUAUAUUUUUUUAUGUCAAUUUGCCAGAUCUAUUUUUUUGUUUUGAUUUUCUUAAUGUUCACCUGAAAAUCAUUUAAUGGUUUUAAUAUCCCCAUUUCAAUUUGCACAGUGAUGGCCACACCUCAGGCUGUGACUUAAGGAAAAAUUUUUUUAGAUUGUUUACAAAAUCAGUGGACAGCCUUUAUUUUUUGAAAAUAUUUUUUAUUUCUUGAACUUCCAGAAAAGUGCUUAUAGUCUGUUUUGUUCACAAAUUAUUUUUCUUUACAUUACAUUUAAAAUGGUAUUUUUCCAUUUUAAAAAUACUUUAUUAGUUGUGAAUUUUGGAUUCCAAGAUAAAGUAAGCUGAUUUCCUGCAACCAUCCAUAAUAUGUAUGAUAUAUCUCGACUGCAUUCAUUUUUAUAAAUUGUACAUAUUUGAAAACUAAAAUAUUAUAAUAAUAUGGAGCAUAAUAGUCUGGAGGGGUGGGAGAAAUCCCUCUGAUUUAAGUGGACAAAUUUUUCUUUGCACUGUUACCAUUUCUGUUUUUCACUUUGUCCCAGUCACCACUGUAGUGUGGCACCAAGAUAAAUUAGGUAUUUCCCCAAAGCAUAAAUAAUGCUUGAGAAUUUCUCCUGCUUUCCUGUUGGCAAAGAGCUGGUGUGUAAUUUUGUGGAAUUCCUGUGUGACAGUCCUACCUCAGCUUUGCAAUACCAUCCAUACAUGAUCUUCACAGCGCAGUUCUCACCUUGUUUGGCUAGCUACAAAUCUGAACUUAAACAGAUGCUAGGGAUUGAACUUUUAAAAGAUGAUCCUUUUUAAAAAGGAUUUAGCUUGGGUUAUCUUUAGUUAGCCAGCCUCUCUUCUACACAUAGAUACAAAUUAACUUAUAAAAAUUAGAUCGUUCAUGGAAAAUUUUUUUAUCAUCAGUCUGAUGUAUAAAGCAAGGUACAACUUUAUGUUGCUAAAGUGUGAACUGGGACUGCUUUGGAUUAAAAUUCUUCUAUGGAAGGCAACUUGGUUCCACCGGGAAAGAACACUGACUAGAGCAGGACUCCCAGCACCAUAGUUGUAGUCCUAGCUUUGCUAUUUAAGAGCUUUGUGACCCCUAGGCAAAUCACUUAACUCCUCCGACCUCCUGUCCUCUCAUUCCUGAGUUGAGGAUUCUGAGUAGAUGACUAGUAAAAUGACUUCCAGCCCUGGCAUUCUAGUCCCUUUGGGUUUGUUCUGUUUUACAAUUCUGUAAAACCACCCUUCAAAGAAAUACUCUUUCAAUUGUAGCAUUUUCCCCUAAAAUGAUUAUCAGAGUCUCAGUGACAUUGGACAAUAUUGAAAGAAUUAUGCCCAUUAUUUGUACUCUUCCACUGUAUGAGUUUAAAUCAUGCAUGCUAUUAAAGUGGUGACUUGGGGGAGGGGAAAGAGGGAAAAGCUUGUAUUUAUUUAUAUCAUUUGUACAGAUUUCCUGUGCUAAGUCCUCAAGAAACAUCUAAAUAAAUCAUUGUGUGUAUUUGU